rnacentral:tRNA from 1 species
GGACCGAUGGUGUAGUUGGUUAUCACGUUUGUCUAACAACUUCAAGUUCCUUGGACACAAAAGGUCGGCGGUUCGAGUCCGCCUCGGUUCA